ACGGCUCAGUAACACGUAGUCAACAUGCCCAGGGGACGUGGAUAACCUCGGGAAACUGAGGAUAAACCGCGAUAGGUCAUCACUUCUGGAAUGGGUAAUGACCUAAAUCUAUAUGGCCCCUGGAUUGGACUGCGGCCGAUCAGGCUGUUGGUGAGGUAAUGGCCCACCAAACCUGUAACCGGUACGGGCUCUGAGAGGAGGAGCCCGGAGAUGGGCACUGAGACAAGGGCCCAGGCCCUAUGGGGCGCAGCAGGCGCGAAACCUCUGCAAUAGGCGAAAGCUUGACAGGGUUACUCUGAGUGAUUUCCGUUAAGGAGAUCUUUUGGCACCUCUAAAAAUGGUGCAGAAUAAGGGGUGGGCAAGUCUGGUGUCAGCCGCCGCGGUAAUACCAGCACCCCGAGUGGUCGGGACGUUUAUUGGGCCUAAAGCAUCCGUAGCCGGUUCUACAAGUCUUCCGUUAAAUCCACCUGCUUAACAGAUGGGCUGCGGAAGAUACUAUAGAGCUAGGAGGCCAGUGGCGAAGGCGGCUUGCCAGAACGCGCUCGACGGUGAGGGAUGAAAGCUGGGGGAGCAAACCGGAUUAGAUACCCGGGUAGUCCCAGCUGUAAACGAUGCAGACUCGGUGAUGAGUUGGCUUAUUGCUAACUCAGUGCCGCAGGGAAGCCGUUAAGUUUGCCGCCUGGGGAGUACGGUCGCAAGACUGAAGCUUAAAGGAAUUGGGAGAGGCAAGCGGUACUCGAUGGGUAGGGGUAAAAUCCGUUGAUCCAUUGAAGACCACGGCGGGGGAGCAC
rnacentral:rRNA from 1 species